GACGUAGGAUGCAAGCGUUGUCCGGAAUUAUUGGGCGUAAAGAGUUCGUAGGCGGUUAUCUAAGUCUGAUGUUAAAUCCUGAAGCUCAACUUCGGCAUGGCAUUGGAAACUGGGUAGCUAGAGUGUGGUAGAGGUCUCGGGAAUUCCUGGUGUAGCGGUGAAAUGCGUAGAUAUCCGGAGGAACACCAGUGGCGAAAGCGGCCACCUGGACUGCACCUGACGCUGACACGCGAAAGCUAGGGGAGCGAACGGG
rnacentral:rRNA from 1 species